UACAGAGGGUGCGAGCGUUAAUCGGAAUUACUGGGCGUAAAGCGUGCGCAGGCGGCUUUGCAAGACAGAUGUGAAAUCCCCGGGCUCAACCUGGGAACUGCAUUUGUGACUGCAAGGCUAGAGUACGGCAGAGGGGGAUGGAAUUCCGCGUGUAGCAAUGAAAUGCGUAGAUAUGCGGAGGAACACCAAUGGCGAAGGCAAUCCCCUGGGCCUGUACUGACGCUCAUGCACGAAAGCGUGGGGAGCAAACAGG
rnacentral:rRNA from 1 species